GCCCUCCGUACCAUCAGCCACUGUCUGUGCAGCAUCACCGUGAGCGCUCUGACCACCUGGGGAGCGGGCCCAGCUCACCUGAGAUGCUCGCACCCCAGCACACUCGCAACUGGCGUCUCUGCUCCAGCCCAGGAGCUUUACCUGAGUGGGAGCAGAGCUGCGGCGCGAGCCCCUGGUGGUCCCCCAGGAGGGAGAGGAGCUGGACGGCACCCAGCACGCUGGGCAGGGCUGUCUCUGGGCGGAGGCACUGCGGCAGUAUGCGGAACAAGCCCUGCAACCUGAAACACAGGCCAGGACCCGGGACACUCCAAUCCAGCCUGUGGCACAGCCGAGCAGAUGGCAGAUGCAGGCAGGGCUGGUGCAAAGACGUAUUCAGAGAUCUGGGCCCAGGGCCAGGUAACCACCACCGGCUUGCUAGAGCGCUUAUGGCACAUGGCCGCCAGGGACUGCCCUUCCCUGCAGGGCUGCUGUGGCUUAGCAGUGACAGGCCCUUACCUGGCACAGCACCACACAGCCAAUGGGGGACUGCCUCUCUGAUCUGAGGGGCCCAGUCUCUGCUGCCCAAUAGGCAGGUCCUAACGUGGGUGUGAGAAAUCCUGUGCCCGCCAUCAAAGGACUGGCCAGGUUCUGGAGGGACAGACGUGGACCUGACUGUGGCUGCACCUCAUGAGACUGCUCACUGAGCAAGGAAGACCCUCUCCACCUGUCAGAAGGCGGCUCCUCUGCCACCAAGAAUGAGAAGAAGGUGCAGCCUACUUCCCUUCUCCUUGAACGUGGCCCAGGCUCAGUGACUCACUGCAAACGGAACAUGCGGGGGUGAUGCUUAUGCGACUCCAAGUUCCAGGGCUGAUGCCAACGGUGUGCCAGACUACUCACAAGCUCAUCGCAUCUGCAGCUAAGGGGCUGCUGGACAGAGGUCCCAGGGCAGCCAGUGCCAAACAGUAUUGCACGUAGUUGGGAUGGAAAUACACUCAUGCAUGGAGCACAGCCAGUUAUUUGAAACAAGAUAACAUGAAAAGAAAGUCUGGCCUACUCCCAAAGUUUGGAGAGCAUCUCUGCAGCCUUUUCCGGUCCCAAGGAGUUGUGUUUACAACCUCCUCUAUGCCUGCCUCUCAGCUGUGAUGCUCCAAACCAGUCAAGCCUCAUCCGAACCACUGCUGAGGCCCACGUCCAGGUGACAGAGUGUAAGUGGCCUUCCUUCAGGACUAGCCUGACAGUCCUAUUCAGACUCUCCACCGAACGAUGCAAAGCCACUCCCCCAGCACCACUUUACCUGGCACGGGAAAUGGAGGGGGCAGCCGGCUUAUUUGCUCGCUCACUGCUUUGAAGCUUUGUCCUCAACUCAUUCAUUUCUGCAUCUUUAAAGUGAAGUUCAGACUGCAGUGACUGGAGCUGGAAGCAGAAACAACACACCUGUAGUGUGCCUGCCACAGACACAGAAACAUCUCUGGGCUUCGGAAUCUCAAGCUGGGGAAGGAGAAACGAUGAGAAACAAGUAUGGAAGUUGGUUGUGGCAUAAAUGUCCUAAAAGACCAAGGGUCAGCCUCCUUCCUGAGAGGCAGCAUGGUGUUCUAGAGACUUUUGCACAAAACUAUUGUGAGGUGGCCAGUGAGGUUCAGGACCACAGACUCAGCCUCUCUGAGACAGUCAGAGUGAUAAAUGUCAGGCUCCUGGUGCAGAGCCUUUGGACACCACGCCGCACAGGGACGCAUUGGCCUCUUCGUGAACUCAGUGGCACCCAAUUCCAGGUCUCCUCUAAAGCCUGGGCAGCAUGUCUGGAAGUUUUAGCAAGACCCCGUGCAGGUGGGGAGAUGGUGCCGCUCUGGUCUUGUGGCCUAGAGCCAGCAGCCACGGAGCCAGGCACAGCACUGGAGCCCGCUGGCACAUGGAGACCCUUUGGGUGAUUUCCUGGAGCAGCUAAGGGAACGAGCCAUAGAGCCAGGUCAUUACCCUGAGGUCACCGCUUGUAUGUGAUAAAGCCUGGGUUCAGUCUCUGCUCUGCUGGAGUUUUUGACAUCCCAUCUAAUCUGGGGACCUUAUGAAUAUCUGUAAAAGACAGUUCCAAUAGACUCUUCAGGACCUAAUAUAUUCCCACUUUGGCCAACAAUGUUGAAAAGCAUCACCCUUGAAAACAAAUUAGAGAAUCUAGUAAGCAGUAUUUUCUAAUCUAA